UACGAAGGGGGCUAGCGUUGUUCGGAUUUACUGGGCGUAAAGCGCACGUAGGCGGUUUGUUAAGUCAGAGGUGAAAUCCCGGAGCUCAACUCCGGAACUGCCUUUGAUACUGGCGAGCUAGAGUCCGGAAGAGGUAAGUGGAACUCCUAGUGUAGAGGUGGAAUUCGUAGAUAUUAGGAAGAACACCAGUGGCGAAGGCGGCUUACUGGUCCGGAACUGACGCUGAGGUGCGAAAGCGUGGGGAGCAAACAGG
rnacentral:rRNA from 1 species